GCGGGUAUGGCGGAAUUGGCAGACGCGCAGGAUUUAGGUUCCUGUGGGCAACCGUGUGGGUUCGACCCCCACUACCCGUA
rnacentral:tRNA from 1 species